AUCUAUCUAUCUAUAUACUAAAGCAUUCUCCAAUAAUUGACAUAUAUCCCCGGCUAUAUAUUCGGUGCACCCGAUACACUGCAGAUGCACCAUAAUACUAUAAAAAAUAUUAUUUUAUUUUAAUAUACAAAUAUCUAAAUUUUAUAUUUUUUAAUAUAUAGAUAUUUAAAGUACUAAAAAAAUAUAUUUAAUUAAUUAAAUUUUAUUUUAAAAUUUUAUUUUUGACAUUUCAUAAAC
rnacentral:lncRNA from 1 species